ACAGUACACUCGUCUCUCUCCCCUUGACAAUAAGAAACCUAUUUCUUUCUUUAUUCCUUCACUAUAUUAAUAUGAAUUUACUAUUUUUCAUUCACUUCACAAUGUCACAUUAGAUAUUGAAUUAGAUUUUCAGUAUUAGUAAAACUUGUAGGCUCUUAUACUACCACGGCAGCGUCUUCUUGGAUAUUAAGCACGGCAGUUGUCACUUGGUCACCAAAACAAUUGAUAGGGUUUUGUUGACAUUUUCUGCGUCCUUACAGCGUAAUCGGGGUCACAAGUGCUGCAAGGACUGACCCCCAACCACAAUUUGUUUGUUGAUUUGGUUAGUUCAUUGUGACUCAUAAUUAAUUUCGUCACAAAUUUUAAUAUGUGGAACUGUUGAACCAUUCACAGCCUCUAGUCAUCCCAGCACCUUGUGACACAUAAAUAUUAUGUUUUUUGUUUUCUUGAAAUUCUUUUGCAGAUUCCACAAUAGAGGCAACUUUCCGAGGCAUAAGUCAUCCUGGGACCUGUCUCUUCCGAACCCUGAACAUUAAUUAUUCCUGACCAAAGAACACUUAUUGUGCUUCAAUAACUAAGGUUGUUACAUCUCUGACAAGGAGCUGAUGCACAGCCAGUGGAGGAAGGUGUUCUAUGUCCGAGUUACUCGUGAUUACAAGGGGCUCACUGUUAACGUAACCCACAACACUCAAGUCAUCACCCUGCCACCUGGUUGCCUUUCUCCCGACACCUGGCAUGCUGUCUCCAUCUCGAAGAAGAAAAAGUCAAUGGAGGUGCACAUUGAUGGUGAGCUAUUAAUGAGGGAACCAACACAGGUGUACUUACCGAAUAUCAGUAGUAUGGUGAUCAGGGUGGAGGAAGGUGGACUGCUGUCGUGGUGCAAACAAGCGUCUCACCUCCCCACAGAGGUCUUCACUACUUCCGGCGGACUCGGGUAUCUAUGGCACCACAGGAACCGGCACCGUGCCUCCAUACCGAAACCAAGAUACUCUCCCCUCACCAAACUUUACUCUGAGCCUACCCCACCUCCUCUUCCUCCUCCAUUUCACCCACCACAAAUCAUCCUGAGGCCACCCUCUUCACCACCAGCAGUACACCCAGAACCUCACAAACUCCUCAAACCACCUACCCCACAACCAAUUAUCCAGCCACCAUGCGGACUGUGAAGAGCUGCAGAAGAAUCUCUGUGAGCUCCAAGAAUGGUCGAUAAAAUAUCAUGAAGUGUAAGAGGAUGCACCUUGGGCAUACCA